rnacentral:lncRNA from 1 species
AUUUAGCACACAUUUGUUUUUUUUUUUGAGAAAAAGCACGCUACCUGCUUCACUCAUUCAGGAUAUGAACUUAGCUACAUCGGUAAGGCAAUAAGGCCUCUAAAGAGAUGAAAAGCCGGACAAAGACGAAAAUAAAUAAAAAAAAAUCAGUGUUUCUCCAUAGGGCGAAGUUUCCCCCACAGGGACGUCAGCUGUUUAACCUUAUAGCAACCACGGAUUGGAUCAGUCUGAUUCCUUCUAAAGAUCACACCAUUCCUGAUCUCCCAAAUAACCCACCAAUAGGCAAUUAGUUCAGGUAAACCAUCGCUCAUGAGCUGAGACCCCGUCCUUCCGCUCCGUCUAUCCCAAACCAUAUGCACAUCUUCGGCCAAAUCUUCUGCUUGGACAUCCUCUAAUGACAUCACCAUAAAAAAUUUGAAGAAUAAGUGUAUUGUAGUCCUACUCUCUCUCUCUUUCUAUAUAUAUAUAUAUAUUAUAUGUAAAUAAUUAAAAGAAUUUUUC